rnacentral:rRNA from 1 species
CCGCCGGCGACCGGCGCACGGGUGAGUAACACGUAUGCAACCUGGCCGUGACAGAUGGAUAACCGGGAGAAAUCCCGCCUAAUACAACAUAAUGCCGGGAGGGGACAUCCCCUGCCGGCCAAAGGGGGCGUACCCCGGUCACGGAUGGGCAUGCGGCGCAUUAGGUAGUUGGUGGGGCAACGGCCCACCAAGCCGACGAUGCGUAGGGGUUCUGAGAGGAAGGUCCCCCACAUUGGAACUGAGACACGGUCCAAACUCCUACGGAAGGCAGCAG